AACGAACGCUGGCGGCAUGCCUAACACAUGCAAGUCGAACGAGACCUUCGGGUCUAGUGGCGCACGGGUGCGUAACGCGUGGGAACCUGCCCUUAGGUUCGGAAUAACUCCCCGAAAGGGGUGCUAAUGCCGGAUAAUGUCUUCGGACCAAAGAUUUAUCGCCUUUGGAUGGGCCCGCGUUGGAUUAGCUAGUUGGUAGGGUAAAAGCCUACCAAGGCGACGAUCCAUAGCUGGUCUGAGAGGAUGAUCAGCCACACUGGGACUGAGACACGGCCCAGACUCCUACGGGAGGCAGCAGUGGGGAAUAUUGGACAAUGGGCGAAAGCCUGAUCCAGCAAUGCCGCGUGAGUGAUGAAGGCCUUAGGGUUGUAAAGCUCUUUUACCCGGGAUGAUAAUGACAGUACCGGGAGAAUAAGCUCCGGCUAGCUCCGUG
rnacentral:rRNA from 1 species